UCGUAAAGUGUCAGUUACGAAUUAACAUUUUGCAUCUUAAUCAGAACAAAUAUUUAUAUUAUGUGUUUCCGGGUCAGGAUAGAAAAAUCCAAACUGUGGGCCCACGCGUAAGCCGGAAACGAGGCUCCACUCAGCGUGGCCGAAGAGGGUGGGAGGCAUACAUACGGACCUUGAAAGCGCAGCUGUCAGCCAAAGGUAUCACAGAGGCGAAUAUAGAUCAGACGGAGAAGCUGAACGAGACCUUGACUGUCAACGGUCCACGUUUGUUCGGAGUUGCCCUUUAAUGAGAUGUAUGCGGACUUUGCAACCAAGGGCAUAGCAGAGGCAAAUGGAGAACUUUAAUUUUCGUCUGUCUGUUGUCCAUGAUCGUAUGUUAUGAUAGUCAUUUUCUCAAAGAUUCCGAGUUAAAAAUAAUUUAGCGUGUUUUACAGGAUGUUUUCCUGAGAUGUUUUACUCAUACCUAGAACCUUAAAUGUGGUUGAAACCGAGAUUACAAGUAACUACUUUUGAUGAUUGAUUUAUAUGUCGGUACUACACGCUCAGAUUUGAACUUUUCCAUACGAAGAUCAAUAUAAGUUACAUUCCGGAGUGAUUUGCUGAAGAAAGUAGACCGUGUUCAUGGACCGUGCGUACAGUGUUAACAAAAUCAUAUCAGCAAAUCUGAUGACAUUUUGUUCAUACAAUAGUUUUAUAAGUUUGAAUGUACAAUGUAAAUAUAAUCAAUUUUAAUAAAAUUUGUAAUCCACUUUGUGUAUUACCCAGCAUUGUAAAGACUAUUAGUGUGGCUGUUUCUAGGAUGCUCUGUUGCCUGUUUCCAGUUAAGUGUCAGUUAGGCAUUAACAUUUUGCAUCUUAUACAGGAAUAACAAUUUCUAUUAUGUGUUUCCGUGUUCGAAUAGAAAAUUCCAACCCGAGAGCCGCGUAAGCCGGUAACGAGUCCUCUCAGCGUGCCCAAAGGUCGAAUUGUUUUUAUCCGGGCAGGUAAACAUGAUUUGUAUUUCUUACAUACCUACAUUUAUAAAUAUGUGGAAACCCUGACGUAGAUAACGCAUGUUUGUAGAUUUCAUCAAAAUGCUCGAACGAUGUUUGAAAUCAUGACACGUGGUAGUUGACGUCAAAUAGUUCAUAAAAAGUGAUUUUACGAUCAUGUAUUUCCUUUUUAGUUAUAAGUCUUGCGUAAUAUGUAUGUAAUUGCGCUUUAUUGAAUACAUAAUGUACGUUUAGUUAACCAGACAUUACAAUAAAUAAGAAGUGGCGAGUUGUAGCGCGUGACUCCUUUGGAAUGGGGUGUCAGAUUUUUCAAGCAUUGUUAAAUUCACCGGUCAUGCCUAUCCGGUGUGCAAUAAUAAGGUUUUUGUUGUCAACUCAACUUAUCCCUGUAAUUCCCAUAGUAUUUAUUUCUAUUACAAUACAUGAUGUGAAUGAUCAGUCUUUUAUCAAUGAUUAAUACUAUUUAGUUGUAAUUGUUUUGAUCUUGAUGCUUU